rnacentral:rRNA from 1 species
GGACUACAAGGGUAUCUAAUCCCGUUCGCUCCCCUGGCUUUCGCACCUGAGCGUCAGGUACUUCCCAGGACACUGCCUUCGCCUUUGGUGUUCCUCCGGAUAUCUACGCAUUUCACCACUCCACCCGGAAUUCCGUGUCCCUCUGAAGCCCUCAAGUCCGCCAGUUUUCAGACCACUUUCCCAGUUGAGCCGGGAACUGUCACCCUGAACUUGGCUGACCGCCUGCGUGCGCUUUACGCCCAAUAAAUCCGGACAACGCUUGCCCCCUACGUAUUACCGCGGCUGCUGGCAC